UAGAGUCAGUCAUUUUUGGAAAAUAUUUCGAAUUUAUUUUUCAUUCAAAAUUGGAAAAAAAAAAGCCGAAUCGAAUUGAGAACUGUCACCACAGCUUGUGUGUAUGUAAUAAACAAUGUGAAAUAAUCAUCACACGACAGUAAGAAUGAACGUAGCAGCCAACAGCCAGCAACAACAUCUGAAAUCUUCUCCGAAAAACAAGUUUCCCCUCAAAUACGUUCGUACGUAUUAAUCACAUUGAGAAGAACAACAAAAAAACCCCAACUGCAACAACAUUCACAUGGACAUUAAGUGCAAUUAAUUGUCAAGUGGAAAACGUUAACAAAAAUUUCGAAAAAUUGUAAAGGUCAUUGCCAAAACGGUGAUGCACAACAGCAGCAGCAGCAGCGACUGGCAGCCAGUCAGCCCACCAGGCAGGCAGGCAGGUAAACACGACUCCACAACUGCAACUGUUGCCUCUGCUGUUGUCGAUGUUGAAUAACAAAGCCUCGUGUUAUUGAACCUCAAGAAGGAAAGUGCAAAAUGUAUGCAUAUGGAUGUUCUGCUGCUGCUCCUCCUCUCCUCCUCCACCUUCUUCUCUUUUCGAUGAUCAUGAAAUCGAAUUACAAUAAAAGCAUGUCGUUGGUUUUGAAAAAAAUGCACAAAAAUCUCCAACUUAGAGUGUCAAGAUGGUGUCUUAAGAGGAUGUUUGACGGCAGUGCAAAGACAUUGGAAUGCUUCUCCUGCUAGACCAACUAAUCGUUGUCUCUUAGGCGAGCAGUGUGUCUUCAUAAUUUUGGAGAAAAGGAAUGCAUUUUGGCGUGACAGAAACAAUAUUACGGCGACCAAUAUUUUUAUUAACACAAGAUGAACGGAUAUAAUGGACCACUACCUUCCCCACAAAAUAUACAAAUUUAGAAUAACCAUGAAGCUCAUAAAA